CGGGAGGGUGAGGCAGAUGUGGGUAAAUAUUUUCAACAAUGCUCCGCCCAAACAUAAAAGAGGCUACUCAUCUUCUCCACCGGGACUCACAGGACAAAAUAGAGACUUCAUUUCAGUUGACAAUUUGGUCAGCUGUGCCUGAUAGUGAGCCUGAAUAUGAUCACCUUGUCUGGACAGGAAACACACGUUGUCUCCCCUUGUGUACCAGCGAUGUCCAGCCAACGGCGUCAACGAGGCUUUGAGCGAGCGUCCUCACUCCGUCCCGUGUUGCUG